AACCCGCAAGGGAAGCAGCGCCCUACGCUAUGAGCGGUAACUGGGAUGAAGUCGUAACAAGGUAGCCGUAGGGGAACCUGCGGCUGGAUCACCUCCUUU
rnacentral:rRNA from 1 species